CCUUUCUUCUUCUUCUUCUUCUUCUAUUCCAAGCAUUUUUUUUCUCCUUUGAUCUUUUCUCACAAGUCUUCAUCAACAACUGUGUCACCGCCGUCGGAAGCAGCGAACUCCGGGCACCAUUUUGAUUCUGUUUGAUCAAAUACAAUAUGAGUGCUGGUGCCUAACAAUAUGCGCUUGAUGCUCUUGAGCAAGUUGAUAAAGUAUUCAACCUUAAAUGACAAUUUUGGAGAGCUGAUUACUAUUCCAAAUAAUUCUGGUUAUUCUCGGUUGUUUUGGUUGCUGCCUUCUUGACUUCAUGCCAGUCUUGCGGUUUUGGAACUGCAGAUUUACUCCGGCCAGCCACCAUUUCCGGCAAGCCACGAUGUUUGUAAAGUUGUAUGGAAUUAAAAAUAGCAGACUCUUUUUGUUAUGAUUUUGAUGACAGUUGUGUUACUCUUUUGGCAAUGUGUUUAACCAGAUUAAGAUCAAGGUUCGAGACCUCAGGUGACGACAUGGAUCUUAAAAUACACACUCAAAUCAAUUUAGUAUGAAUUUUGAAUUUUCCCCUCUUAAUUUCAAUGUUGUGAUAUAAAUUCUAUUCUGAAUUUUUGUUAUUUUAUGUAUUUUUUGGUGGCAAUUGUCAAUAAUUCAUGUUUGAAAUAGUUUA